GAUGAACGCUGGCGGCGUGCCUAAUAUAUGCAAGUCGAGCGAACAGAUAAGGAGCUUGCUCCUUUGACGUUAGCGGCGGACGGGUGAGUAACACGUGGGUAACCUACCUAUAAGACUGGAAUAACUCCGGGAAACCGGGGCUAAUGCAGGAUAACAUGUUGAACCGCAUGGUUCUACAGUGAAAGGCGGCUUUGCUGUCACUUAUAGAUGGACCCGCGCCGUAUUAGCUAGUUGGUGAGGUAACGGCUCACCAAGGCAACGAUACGUAGCCGACCUGAGAGGGUGAUCGGCCACACUGGAACUGAGACACGGUCCAGACUCCUACGGGAGGCAGCAGUAGGGAAUCUUCCGCAAAGGGCGAAAGCCUGACGGAGCAACGCCGCGUGAGUGAUGAAGGUCUUCGGAUCGUAAAACUCUGUUAUUAGGGAAGAACAAAUGCGUAAGUAACUGUGCGCGUCUUGACGGUACCUAAUCAGAAAGCCACGGCUAACUACGUG
rnacentral:rRNA from 1 species